GCCGACAUAGCUCAGCGGUAGAGCAGCUGUUUCGUAAACAGCAGGUCCUCGGUUCGAAUCCGAGUGUCGGCUCCACCCC
rnacentral:tRNA from 1 species